UACGAAGGGGGCUAGCGUUGCUCGGAAUCACUGGGCGUAAAGCGCACGUAGGCGGAUUGCUAAGUCAGGGGUGAAAUCCUGGAGCUCAACUCCAGAACUGCCUUUGAUACUGGCGAUCUCGAGUCCGGGAGAGGUGAGUGGAACUGCGAGUGUAGAGGUGAAAUUCGUAGAUAUUCGCAAGAACACCAGUGGCGAAGGGCGGCUCACCUGGCCCGGUACUGACGCUGAGGUGCGAAAGCGUGGGAGCAACAG
rnacentral:rRNA from 1 species